CAGUUGCAUGUGUGUGUGAUUUCAGUGGUCACCCCAGGGCCCUGAAGAAAACGUGUGCCGCACCCUUAUCAGCCAGAGCAGAGCUAAGGAACAAAAGAAGUAACCCUACAAAACUGGCGUCAGAAGUGGAAUGAAACAGGGAACUCUCGGAAGGAACCAACCCAUCCUUUCAAGCCUGGAGAUCUGGUCUGCAUUCGCCAGCUGAAUAAAGCAAAGAAAGGAGGUUUCCCAUUCAGCAAGCCAGUCACUGUGAUCGCUGUAACCAGGACUGCCGUACUGACUGACGACAAGGACAUCUGGAUACACGCUUCACGAGUGAAACUCUGUCCAAAGAGAGGAGAAGCGGGUGACAAGCUAUCGGUCACCCCUCACAAAGGAGAAGUGGGUGAUAAGGUAUCGAUCACUCCUCACAAAGACCAGGAUGACGAUCUCAAUCAUGGAUCCAAGACAUUCCUGCAAGAUCUUCCUUUUCCUAAUGGGGAUAUUGAUCUUUGUGUAUAUCCCAAUAGUAUUAAUAACGGCAUGUUAUUACUCACCUGAAGAUGCUGGACACUUUACACAUAAUUUGUUUACUAUUAUUAACAUUGUUUAACUGUUACAUGUCUUGUACUUUACGAAAGAAAAUAUCAGGUAUGAUACAAGAUGCAGAAAAAGUUCAACUGCAAAAUUUAAUUAGAGGUAGACCCAGAUAGUUUAUAUUGUAGGAACAUUACAGGUUAUGUGAUCAGGAUGUGAUCAAAGAGGGGAAUGAUGGGUAUAUAUGUGUGUAUGUAUGUGUAUGUAUAUGUAUAUAUAUAUAUAUAUAUAUAUAUAUAUAUAUAUAUAUAUAUGUAUGUGUAUAUAUGUGUAUAUAUAUAUAUAUUAUAUAUAUUAUGUUAUAUGGGUAAUUUGAAUCUCACAUAUUAAGCAUAUUGAGGGUAACUUUAAAUCUUGUAUCAAAUGUUUAUAAUGCAGCAUUCCACAAGUUUCUUUUUGUAUAAGUUGUAACAUAUGGUUCCAAUAUAUGAUCCUCUCUACAAAUGGUUAUAUGGGCAUAUUCUGUUAUGUGCUAUAACAACAUUCUUAUUUCCUGUGGGCCCCUUAUGCAGAUGUGAAGUUAACUACGUUUUUUAUAUAUUUCCUGUGACCUCAUGUAUGACAUAUACAUCACUAUAAAUUCUUUGUGUGUUCUUCAAAUAAAGGGGACUUUUGUGAAAACA